rnacentral:rRNA from 1 species
GACGAACGCUGGCGGCGUGGAUUAGGCAUGCAAGUCGAACGGUAUCAUCCUUUCGGGGGUGAGAGAGUGGCGAACUGGUGAGUAACACAUCGGAACGUGCCCAGACGUGGGGGAUAACUACUCGAAAGAGUGGCUAAUACCGCAUACGAUCUAAGGAUGAAAGCGGGGGAUCGCAAGACCUCGCGCGUUUGGAGCGGCCGAUGGCAGAUUAGGUAGUUGGUGGGGUAAAGGCUUACCAAGCCCGCGAUCUGUAGCUGGUCUGAGAGGAUGAUCAGCCACACUGGGACUGAGACACGGCCCAGACUCCUACGGGAGGCAGCAGUGGGGAAUUUUGGACAAUGGGCGAAAGCCUGAUCCAGCCAUUCCGCGUGCAGGAUGAAGGCCCUCGGGUUGUAAACUGCUUUUGUACAGAACGAAAAAGCUCUUUCUAAUACAGAGAGUCCAUGACGGUACUGUAAGAAUAAGCACCGGCUAACUACGUG